rnacentral:rRNA from 1 species
UACGGAGGGGGCUAGCGUUGUUCGGAAAUACUGGGCGUAAAGCGCACGUAGGCGGUGGAGUAAGUCAGAGGUGAAAUCCCAGGGCUCAACCCUGGAACUGCCUUUGAAACUGCUACACUAGAAUCAUGGAGAGGUCAGUGGAAUUCCGAGUGUAGAGGUGAAAUUCGUAGAUAUUCGGAAGAACACCGAUGUGCGAAGGCGACUGACUGGACAUGUAUUGACGCUGAGGUGCGAAAGCGUGGGGAGCAAACAGG